UGCCCAUAACGUUGUCGGUGCCUAAUAUUUAACCGUUAUCGUCGUCUAUCUGUACAAUAAAUGCAAUAUUUCGUCACAGGUGAGUUAUUUUCGCGUCGAAUUUAAUUAAUUUCUGAUUGCGAAUCGUUCGGUUCUCGACGAAAUCGAAAAACUCGUUAGUUAUUAAAUUGCACGCUAGUGUCGAGUGUACUCCACCCCGCGACACCAAUACCCUCGUAGCAGCUACUGCAUUACGAGAUGCUAUCGUCGAUAUAACGAGGAUCGAUCUCAUCCAGGAUUCGACGAAAGAAAAUUUCGAUGAAACGGACGCUUGUUGCAACGUUAUGGGCAUCACUCGUUCUAGUCGCAAUGAAAAUUGUAACUGGAGUUUCGCUGUCUCUUAUGCCAGCAUUGACACCGCCCGAGGCGACGACGACGACGAUGAUGACACGGAAUCAAAAAUGGAAAUAUCUUCCCGUUUGUAACCAUGAGGGAAAUCACAUCAAAUGUACAGCUGUCGUCCACGAAUACAUCGUCGACGACGACAAUGAAACAUCAUCGUCGCCUAUUCCUCUACAUUCGGACUCGGAUGACGACUACGACGACGAUGACUCGACGAGUAAGAUAAAUCAUUAUUUCAUUCGAUGACAAUCGAAGCGAAUAUACAAAACGUUGGAAAUUAAAGUUCUGACCUAGCUGUCAAUUUCCAUCAUCACGUAGGCGAGCCUCGAGCUUUUCCCAUCUCCUCUUUCCCUCCUCGUCGUGUACACGUUUCAUCGAAAUUCGUCCACUUUUCGUUAUUAUUUUCACAGCCUGUAUUUUCGUCACAC